CUGAAAGCAGCGAGCACGUCACGUCGAUCGCCACAGAAGACGGCGGCACGCACGUCGUGGACGCUCACCACCACCGCCUCGCACCUGGACCCUGGGUCCCGGCGCCAGAUCAUUCGCCAUGUGGCCGGCCGCUGCCUGCUACUGCUAGCGACGAAACCUGCGUUUGAUUUUUUUUUUUUUUGCGCCGUCGCGGUAUGUUUGUCCGUCCGGCGAGAAGGCGGGGAAGCUCUCGCCGGCGUCGCCGUGUCACCCGGGCGUACGACGUGCGUGCUUCAGUGCGUGGCGGUGGACGGCGGCCUCCUGUCUGGCUCGUUCUAG
rnacentral:misc_RNA from 1 species